UACGGAGGGGGCGAGCGUUAUUCGGAAUCAUUGGGCGUAAAGCGCGCGUAGGUGGCCUCGUAAGUCCGCUGUGAAAGUCAAAGGCUCAACCUUUGAAAGCCGGUGGAUACUGUGAGGCUAGAGUACGGAAGAGGCGAGUGGAAUUCCUGGUGUAGCGGUGGAAUGCGCAGAUAUCAGGAGGAACACCAAUAGCGAAGGCAGCUCGCUGGGACGUUACUGACACUGAGGCGCGAAAGCGUGGGGAGCGAACAGG
rnacentral:rRNA from 1 species